rnacentral:rRNA from 1 species
UACGUAGGGUGCGAGCGUUGUCCGGAAUUAUUGGGCGUAAAGGGCUCGUAGGCGGUCUGUUGCGUCGGGAGUGAAAACUCAGGGCUUAACCCUGAGCCUGCUUCCGAUACGGGCAGACUAGAGGUAUGCAGGGGAGAACGGAAUUCCUGGUGUAGCGGUGAAAUGCGCAGAUAUCAGGAGGAACAUCGGUGGCGAAGGCGGUUCUCUGGGCAUUACCUGACGCUGAGGAGCGAAAGUGUGGGGAGCGAACAGG